ACACAGACCCUGUGCAAGGUCGUGUUGUGAACCAUGUCAGGCGGGGAACCGAGCAGCAUUAAGCAAAUUUUCGGCUUGUGCGCAGUAAGCCUGUGUUCA
rnacentral:SRP_RNA from 2 species